GACGAACGCUGGCGGCGUGCUUAACACAUGCAAGUCGAACGGAAAGGCCCUGCUUUUGUGGGGUGCUCGAGUGGCGAACGGGUGAGUAACACGUGAGUAACCUGCCCUUGACUUUGGGAUAACUUCAGGAAACUGGGGCUAAUACCGGAUAGGAGCUCCUGCUGCAUGGUGGGGGUUGGAAAGUUUCGGCGGUUGGGGAUGGACUCGCGGCUUAUCAGCUUGUUGGUGGGGUAGUGGCUUACCAAGGCUUUGACGGGUAGCCGGCCUGAGAGGGUGACCGGCCACAUUGGGACUGAGAUACGGCACAGACUACUACGGGAGGCAGCAGUGGGGAAUAUUGCACGAUGGGCGGAAGCCUGAUGCAGCAACGCCGCGUGCGGGAUGACGGCCUUCGGGUUGUAAACCGCUUUCGCCUGUGACGAAGCGUGAGUGACGGUAAUGGGUAAAGAAGCACCGGCUAACUACGUG
rnacentral:rRNA from 1 species